CGAUGAACCACUUCGGUGGGGAUUAGUGGCGAACGGGUGAGUAACACGUGGGCAAUCUGCCCUUCACUCUGGGACAAGCCCUGGAAACGGGGUCUAAUACCGGAUAACACUCCCGCACUCAUGUGCGGGGGUUAAAAGCUCCGGCGGUGAAGGAUGAGCCCGCGGCCUAUCAGCUUGUUGGUGAGGUAAUGGCUCACCAAGGCGACGACGGGUAGCCGGCCUGAGAGGGCGACCGGCCACACUGGGACUGAGACACGGCCCAUACUCCUACGGGAGGCAG
rnacentral:rRNA from 1 species